CAGUAAAAUAAGCAGUGUAAAAAAUGCAGUGUUAAAUGUUAUUAAUUCUAAAAGAGUUAAAUUAAUAACCAACAGUGUUAAUAAUGUUCUUUUGUAGUGUAGUUGCAGGGGUGCUACGUGGUGUAAUUAUAUUUUUACACCUGAAGUGCAAAACCCCCGCCAAGUUAUCUUUGCCCCUCCCCUUUUACCCGUCGUGAAGACGAAAACGCCAUUUUAUCCACAUGCCAGCUGCAAGGAAUGAAGAUGCUCGUCAAAGUUAAGUUCAGAAGUGAACAGAAGUAUGUGAAAGUUUCUCACAGCGAUUUGAAACUUUCCGAUUUUCUGGAUGAAGCCUUAGUGAAGUUCGGCAUCAGUGUCUCUAGUAGGCCCGAGGCC